AGUGUGUUUCGACACACUAUCAUUAACUGAAUCCAUAGGUUAAUGAGGCGAACCGGGGGAACUGAAACAUCUAAGUACCCCGAGGAAAAGAAAUCAACCGAGAUUCCCCCAGUAGCGGCGAGCGAACGGGGAGGAGCCCAGAGCCUGAAUCAGUGUGUGUGUUAGUGGAAGCGUCUGGAAAGGCGCGCGAUACAGGGUGACAGCCCCGUACACAAAAAUGCACAUGCUGUGAGCUCGAUGAGUAGGGCGGGACACGUGGUAUCCUGUCUGAAUAUGGGGGGACCAUCCUCCAAGGCUAAAUACUCCUGACUGACCGAUAGUGAACCAGUACCGUGAGGGAAAGGCGAAAAGAACCCCGGCGAGGGGAGUGAAAAAGAACCUGAAACCGUGUACGUACAAGCAGUGGGAGC
rnacentral:rRNA from 1 species